GCCUGAGUGGCUCAGUCAGUUAAGCGUCUGAUUUCAGCUCAGGUCAUGAUCUCACAGUUCGUGGGUUUGAGCCCCUCAUCUGGCU
rnacentral:tRNA from 1 species